rnacentral:tRNA from 2 species
CUCCCGGUGGCCAAGCUGGUUUAAGGCGCGAGACUGUAAUGGAAAAUUGUCAUCUUGAGAUCGGGCGUUCGACUCGCCCCCGGGAGA